rnacentral:rRNA from 1 species
UACGUAGGUGGCGAGCGUUGUCCGGAUUUACUGGGCGUAAAGGGAGCGUAGGCGGACUUUUAAGUGAGAUGUGAAAUACCCGGGCUCAACUUGGGUGCUGCAUUUCAAACUGGAAGUCUAGAGUGCAGGAGAGGAGAAUGGAAUUCCUAGUGCAGCGGUGAAAUGCGUAGAGAUUAGGAAGAACACCAGUGGCGAAGGCGAUUCUCUGGACUGUAACUGACGCUGAGGCUCGAAAGCGUGGGGAGCAAACAGGAUUAGAUA